UGGGGAAUAUUGGACAAUGGGGGCAAGCCUGAUCCAGCCAUGCCGCGUGAGUGAUGAAGGCCUUAGGGUUGUAAAGAUCUUUUGACGGGGAGGAUGAUGACGGUACCCGUAGAAGAAGCCCCGGGUAAAUUCGUGCCAGCAGCCGCGGUAAUAUGAAGGGGGCGAGCGUUGUUUUGAAUUAUUGGGCGUAAAGCGCACGCAGGCGGUUUGAUCAGUCAGAAGUGAAAGCCCCGGGCUUAACCUGGGAACUGCUUUUGAUACUGUCGAGCUUGAAUCACGGAGAGGGUAGUGGAAUUCCGAGUGUAGAGGUGAAAAAAGUAGAUAUUCGGAAGAACACCACCGCGAAGGAGACUACCUGGCCU
rnacentral:rRNA from 1 species